rnacentral:lncRNA from 1 species
UUUGAGUGGAAGAAAUCAACUCCUACAGCAGCCUGGAAACAGCAAGAUGUGGCAAAGGACUUUCUGUCCUGUGCCCAGCUAUUAGAAAAAAGGAUUGACAGAGACUCAAAAGAAGGGUCAGAUGGAAACCAAACAGUAAUUCUGGGGUCACCAAUACCUGCCAAAGAGAAGCAUCUAAGCUGGUGUUUCACUUCUUCACCAUCAAAGUCAGUGGCAUUUACACAUGUGCAAGCACUGGCUUGCACCCCUUGCUGAAAUGUGGCCAAGAUUUUGGUUGUAUGUGAACUCUGGAUCUCAAAAGUCAGGCUCAGCUGAAACAGAUGUAACAUCAAAACCAUUUGAAAGUGCAACCCAUCAACUGGCAAUUACCUUGGAAGGUUCAAGAAGUGCUGCACAGCUGAGCUUGCUGUUUUACUUUCCUCUGAAGCAUCUAUUAUUGGCUAACUAAUGGUGGAGCUGUUCUGGGAGAUCUGUUCAUUCCUCCUUGACAUCCUAUCAUUCAACUGUUCUUCAAGGAAGGCAUUUCCAUGACAAAUGAAAAUCUUAUUUUAAGAAAACCUGGCACGAA